UACGUAGGGCGCAAGCGUGUCCGGAAUUAUUGGGCGUAAAGAGCUCGUAGGUGGCUUGUCACGUCGGGUGUGAAAGCUUGGGGCUUAACUCCAGGUCUGCAUUCGAUACGGGCUGGCUAGAGUUCGGUAGGGGAGAUCGGAAUUCCUGGUGUAGCGGUGAAAUGCGCAGAUAUCAGGAGGAACACCGGUGGCGAAGGCGGAUCUCUGGGCCGAUACUGACGCUGAGGAGCGAAAGCGUGGGGGAGCGAACAGGG
rnacentral:rRNA from 1 species